rnacentral:rRNA from 1 species
GUCAGCUCGUGUCGUGAGAUGUUGGGUUAAAGUCCCGCAACGAGCGCAACCCCUAUUGUUAGUUGCUACGCAAGAGCACUCUAGCGAGACUGCGUUGACAAAACGGAGGAAGGUGGGGACGACGUCAAAUCAUCAUGCCCCUUAUGUCCUGGGCUACACACGUAAUACAAUGGCGGUCAACAGAGGGAUGCAAAGCCGUAAGGCGGAGCGAACCCCUAAAAGCCGUCCCAGUUCAGAUUGUGGGCUGCAACCCGCCCACA